AGUUUCCUGGCUGCUGAAAGAACACUCGCCAACCUGGCAACCUGCCACUGGACGCUUCCCCUGUUGAAAGCACAAGUGGGAGACGGUAUUCAUCAGUCAGCAGUGACAGCAAGGGCCUGGCGACGAGUGUUGUGAAGACCUUUCCUGCAAUUGUUCACCUUCUCCAAAAGUGAACACAUUUUGGGCUCUUGCACAUUCACGAAAAAGUGUGUGCAGAUCACGACGACUAACUGCCGUUUGCUGCACGUUCUUCGGCUGAAGCUCUAAGCACAGAUGAACCAAACAAGACAACAAG